rnacentral:rRNA from 1 species
GACGAACGCUGGCGGCGUGCCUAAUACAUGCAAGUCGAACGGUCUUUUCUAUGGAAGCUUGCUUCCGCUGAGAAGAUAGUGGCGAACGGGUGAGUAACACGUGGGUAACCUACCCAUCAGCGGGGGAUAACACUUGGAAACAGGUGCUAAUACCGCAUAAUUCUUUUCUUCGCCUGAAGGGAAGAUGAAAGACGCUUUUGCGUCACUGAUGGAUGGACCCGCGCUGCAUUAGCUAGUUGGUGGGUAACGCUCACCAAGGCCACGAUGCAUAGCCGACCUGAGAGGUAUC